rnacentral:rRNA from 1 species
ACGGAGGGUGCAAGCGUUAAUCGGAAUUACUGGGCGUAAAGCGCGCGUAGGCGGCUUGUUAAGCCAGAUGUGAAAGCCCCGGGCUCAACCUGGGAACUGCAUUUGGAACUGGCAAGCUAGAGUGUGUGAGAGGUGAGUGGAAUUUCCUGUGUAGCGGUGAAAUGCGUAGAUAUAGGAAGGAACAUCAGUGGCGAAGGCGACUCACUGGCACAACACUGACGCUGAGGUGCGAAAGCGUGGGUAGCAAACGGG